UUAGUUAAAAAUUACUUAAUGAUAAUAAAGUUUUAAAAUAAAUUAAUAAAAAUAAUUUUAAAUAAAAAUGUUAUUGUAAAUUUUAUUGAUAAAAUAAUUUUAGUAAUAGUAAAAUAGUAUAGAAAUAGAAAUUUGAAAUAAAUUUAUUUAUAAAUAAAGUAAUUUUAAUUUAAUGUACCUUUUGUAUCAGGGUUUAUUAAAAAAAAAUUAUUAAAAAUAAUUUUCUCGAAUUUAAGAGAGCUAAAAUUUUAUGAAAUUUAUUGUAUCAAAAUUAUUUUAAAUAAAAUUUUAGUAAUGAAACGUUAGUCGUUCUUAAAUAUAUCUAGUUUUUUAAGAAAUGAAUUUAAUUCAGAUAUUUUUUUUAUUUAAAUUUUCUUUUAAAGUAUUUAUUUAAAAAAAUAUUAAAAUUUUUAGGGAUUAGCUUAAAAAUUUUGCUUAUAAAUAAAAAUAAUUAAUAAAAAUAAUAGGAAUAGAAAUUUCCAUUUAAAAUUAAAGUGUUAUAAUUAAUUUAAAAUUAAAUUUUAUUUAUUUUUAUUUAAGUAUUUUAUUAAAAUAAAUUUAAUAAUUAUAUUAAAUUGAAAUAAUGAUAAAAUUAGUAUUAUUUUAUUUAAAAAUAAAAAAUUUAAUAAAGAUUAAAAUAAGGAAUUCAGCAAAAUAAUACUCACCUGUUUAUCAAAAACAUGUCUUUUUGAAAAUAAUAUAAAGUCUAACCUGCCCACUGAUAAUUAUUAAAGGGCCGCGGUAUAUUGACUGUGCAAAGGUAGCAUAAUCAUUUGUCUUUUAAUUGAAGGCUAGAAUGAAUGGUUGAAUGAGGUAUUAACUGUCUCAUUUUAAAAAAAAUAAAAAUUUAGCUUUUUAGUCAAAAGGCUGAAAUAAUUUUAGAGGACGAGAAGACCCUAUAGAUCUUUAUAAUAAUAAUUUUAUAAAAAAUAGAAAUUUAAAUAAUUAUAAAAUGAAUUAUUAUUUUGUUGGGGUGACAAAAAAAUUUAUAAAACUUUUUUUAAAUAUAAACAUAAAUUAAUGAAUAAAUGAUCCAAUUAUAUUGAUUAAAAAAUUAAGUUACCUUAGGGAUAACAGCGUAAUUUUUUUGAAGAGUUCAUAUCGAUAAAAAAGAUUGCGACCUCGAUGUUGAAUUAAAGGUUAUUUCUAGAUGCAGAAGUUUAGAGUUUAGGUCUGUUCGACCUUUGAAUCUUUACAUGAUUUGAGUUCAGACCGGCGUGAGCCAGGUCGGUUUCUAUCCUUAAUUAAAAAAAAUAUUUUAGUACGAAAGGACCAAAUAUUAAAAAUAAUUUUUAUAAAAUUGAAUAAUAGAAAUUUUU
rnacentral:rRNA from 1 species